rnacentral:ncRNA from 1 species
UUUGCUUAGGUCUGUGGUUGAAAGUCGAUGCCAGUCGCAGGCGAAACGACCCACGUAAGAAGCCCAAAGUGGCUUUGAGCAUGGUGCGGCUUAGAGGUAAGUCCUGCCGGUCUUGAAAAUAGAUACAUAUAUUGGAUCGAGAGAAGCAGUAGUGAGGAGAUUGAAUUCUUAGUAGCGACCCUUCCAGCAGGCGAGUGUGGGGUCAAAGACCAGGUCGGCUAAGCAGU